UAAGCUAUAAUUUAUAUUAAAAUAUAUGAUUUGCACUCAUAAAAUGUUCUACUUGAGCUAGCUUAA
rnacentral:tRNA from 1 species